GUGUCAGCCGCCGCGGUAAUACGGAGGAUCCAAGCGUUAUCCGGAUUUAUUGGGUUUAAAGGGAGCGUAGGUUGACAUAUAAGUCAGCUGUGAAAGUUUGCGGCUCAACCGUGAAAUUGCAGUUGAUACUGUAUGUCUUGAGUGUACAAGAGGUGGGCGGAAUUCGUGGUGUAGCGGUGAAAUGCUUAGAUAUCACGAAGAACUCCAAUUGCGAAGGCAGCUCACUGGGGUACAACUGACACUGAGGCUCGAAAGUGUGGGUAUCAAACAGGAUUAGAUACCCUGGUAGUCCACACAGUAAACGAUGAAUACUCGCUGUUUGCGAUAUACAGUAAGCGGCCAAGCGAAAGCAUUAAGUAUUCCACCUGGGGAGUACGCCGGCAACGGUGAAACUCAAAGGAAUUGACGGGGGCCCGCACAAGCGGAGGAACAUGUGGUUUAAUUCGAUGAUACGCGAGGAACCUUACCCGGGUUUGAACGUAGGGAGACAGGAGUGGAAACAUUCUUUUCAGCAAUGACUGCCUACGAGGUGCUGCAUGGUUGUCGUCAGCUCGUGCCGUGAGGUGUCGGCUUAAGUGCCAUAACGAGCGCAACCCUUAUUUCCAGUUACUAACAGGUGAUGCUGAGGACUCUGGAGAGACUGCCAGCGUAAGCUGUGAGGAAGGUGGGGAUGACGUCAAAUCAGCACGGCCCUUACAUCCGGGGCGACACACGUGUUACAAUGGUAAGGACAAAGGGCAGCUACCGGGCGACCGGAUGCGAAUCUCUAAACCUUAUCUCAGUUCGGAUCGGAGUCUGCAACUCGACUCCGUGAAGCUGGAUUCGCUAGUAAUCGCGCAUCAGCCAUGGCGCGGUGAAUACGUUCCCGGGCCUUGUACACACCGCCCGUCAAGCCAUGGGAGCCGGGGGUACCUGAAGUUCGUAACCGCAAGGAUCGACCUAGGGUAAAACUGGUGACUGGGGCUAAGUCGUAACAAGGUAACC
rnacentral:rRNA from 1 species